rnacentral:lncRNA from 1 species
AGACUAUCCAUAUAAAUUGUGUAGGUGAAGUGCAACCCAAAUGGACCAUGCCGGGUCGGGUCAAGUACAUACCAAAUAUAGUUAUGGACUUAGACAUUAAUCCAACAGUCUCCCACUUGGAUAAGUCUAAAACUAUUAUUGCGUAUGACUUCAAACCUAACUGGCAAUCGUAGCUCUUAAAGCCGCUGUCGAACUCUGACCUUGUCGGUGAACUCUGACCUUUGUCAAUGACUUGUCCAUUAGAUAAGGGAUCAUAUAUUCCUCCAUUCUAGAUAUCAUAUGGACUGAGACAUGGAUUAUAAUCAUUCUCUCUGUCCAUUUGUUGUUUCCCGAUUUCCGAUUUAUGACGACUGACUAAUUGAACAAAUCAAAUCAGUCCUGGCCCGGCCGAGCACUUCCAUUUGUCAUCAUCAAAUCAUCGAGGGGCCCACAGAUAUCGCUUUUAUCCCGAAGGUAAAAGGAACGGAUAAACUUCGACUCAUAUGGCUUGUUCUACUACUUGUUGAAUCAUACACAAAGGCACGUUUUAUAGCACCGAGUUACCAAAUGCGUUUUCGUGCAAUCAAUGUACUAUCAACUCAUAGUAACAACUCAUAUCUCUAGGUUUGAAGAAUAUAAGAUAUUAUCGUCUCAUGAUCACUCGUGAUAAAAUCCAUGAAGUGAUUCCAAUGAGCGCGGGUUGAAUCCAAUACUCAGAACUUAUGAGCACUCAUGAGUGUUGUAGCCCUUUGUCCAACACCUUAGACCUCUACAAGCCAACCCAUGACAGUCUUAAUUCAUAUCUACUUCCAACAUAUGACCGACUGUGGAUGGUUUGAAUAACUUAGUCAUUCCGGAAGAAUAACCUAGUUUAUUCGGGAAGUCAAAACAUGCAAAGUGAAACACAAUAAUAAUUGAAUCCAAUAUGGUAUCAAAACUUAUGAACAUAAAUAAAACACCUUUUAUUUAUCACCAUAUGAUUACACAUUAUUCAUUGUAUACUGUUUCAGCUAUCAACUUUAUUCUUGAAUUUAAAACAAUAGUUGUCCCAUGCUCCAAGCAUGUACACUAUGUUUUCUUAAACACUAGUCAUGCCACACACCAAGUAUGCAUACUAUGUUUGUCUAUGAUCUUUACUUUGUGAACUAGAUCAAUUGAACAUAACUUCAAUGAUUCUCUUUUCACACUCCCAAAUCCUUACUGCAAAUGCAAGAAUUCCAAAUUCAUGCCAUUUACUGAAAUCUGUUAGAUUCUAAACUUAUAUGCAUUGAUCCUCUUGUAAUGAUUAUGCACAAAGUCAGAAAGACUUGACAACAAUCAUUACAGAGUAUUCCAAAGGAGAUCAGCUCCUUGGAAACAUCCUUCUUGCAUUAAGUUUCCUAAUCUUAAACAGAUUGAAAAUUCUAACUUUGAAACAUUUCCAGAUUCCAUUUUGACUAUCACUUCUGAACAAGAGUUGCCUCCUUACAGAUUAUGUCAAUAUGGUCCUUCCAGAAUUAUCACUAUACUUCCAACUGUCCUUGAGCAACCAAUCUUUGGUAAACCUUAGAUUGUCCUCGACAAUUGUUUAAUCCUUUUAGUCAUAUCCAGUUCUAAACCUUUUCCCUUCUUAAUGCCCCAGGCAUUUGGAAAAUUUUAGAACGGAUGAAUAUAGCACAUGUAAUCGAUCCUAUAUCCGAAGCAUAUGGGACACGAUUCAUGAUGUCUCACAUAAAGACUAAACCAGUCUUUUGCUAUAACAUUUCCAUUUCAAUUUGCCAAGUUCUCAUAAUUCAGAUUAUGAAAAGGGAUGCCGUAAUCAUAAUCGAAUUUUAGAACGCAAAUAAUGGACCCAUAUACAGAAUUUCCUUAUGUUGAGCCAUUCCAACAUGAAAUUCAUAUAUAUCCUUGACUAAAUGAUUAAAACCUCACGAUCUAAGCUUAUAGAUUUGAGAUGAAGUAUAAUUUCCUCUCCCUUAAUUAUAGCAAAACAACUUUUUCCCAAUUGAAACUUUUGUUUUCUAUAAUUAACAUUGCUAACUUGCAAUACUUAUCAUAAUUAUCAUGCUCCCACUAACAUGAUGAUUAUUAGCAUAACACUUAUGCUCCCACUAGCUUUGACAUGUACUCAGAAAUCAGCUGGACUUCUAGAAAUCAAUACUUCAUUGACUUUCUUACCAAAGUUCAGAUUUCUGAUACUAGAUUGUUUUGAUAAAACUUUAUCAAAAUCAUACACCUUCCCUUAGAUAGCACACUUGUGUAUCUAAACAAUUAUGAAGAGGGAUGCCGUAAUCAUAAUGGUUAGACCUUUUUGCCACUUCUCACAAGUCCAGGUUAGUGUGCCGGUUAACCACACGCGCUCCACUAACGACUUUGAGAAUGCAAAUAUCACAAUUGCUAUCUAGCUAAAAUCUACUUAGUGAAAGUGUUUCCUCACCAUCAUUUUCAUGAAUCGGAGAGAAACCUUAUGACACUUAGAUUUAAUGGUGUAUGUGUUCUUAUCCAUGUGAAUUGUCAAAACCAUAGUCACAAGACAAGGAUAAUGACAAAUCCAAACUCAUAUGGACUGAACUCAAUCUUAAUUUCUUGCCACCUGGCAGCUCAAGGGCCUGCCAUUGCUUCCAAGUUGUUGUGCAACAAAUUGAGAACUCUAAGAACUCAUAUGCAAAGCCAACUUUAACUGGAAUGGGCACAGAAUAUGUCAACACGAUAGGUUAUGAACCUCAAGUCGUGUGCUAGUGAAGAACUUCAGGUUUUAUUCUUGAUUAGUUCUUGAGACUUUCAAGACCUUUAAGACUCCCACUGUCCUCUUGACAUAUAAGACUCCCUUGUCAAACAUCCAAGAGAUAGUGCGGAUUCUAAUCAAGAAAAACACUUUACCCAAUUGGCCUAAGUUGGUCUUUGUUUUAUCCAAAACAUCACAACUUACCAAUUUCAAAUGUACAAGAGUAGAAAACUUUUACUCUUACAUUUGACAAGUGUUUUAAACCUUCUUUAAGACAUGUCACUCAAAUGACAAUCUUGGAGUAUGACUCUAAGACUUGUAUUGGAACGAAGUAUGACUCAUCUUCUUGAUUUAACCAUUUCAACAAUUCAAGUUCCUCUUCUUAGUCAUAAGAAUGCACUAAGAUUUCCUUAGAGAACUAAUUUUGAUAUGGUUUCUUAAUCAUUAAGAUGAUCACAAAACUGAUACUAAAGUACUCUCCCAUCUUUUCAGAUUUGAGAAACUUUUAUCCUUCUGCCUUAUUUGAUUCUUCUUAUCGAUCUUUAGUGGUGGACUUAAUCAGUGCACAAGAAUGUGUACUCGAUCCCUAAGUCCUUUACUUGACUCACACAUCCAUGUGAACAAGUAAUUAGUCUUAAUUUUCCAAAACUUGAAAGUUCUCAUUCAUCAUGCUAUACAACUUGCAUGAUUCCAAGUUCCGGUCCAAUUGAAACUUGGGUGAUGAGAAUCUUUCCUUAUUUGGUAAAUUUAGACAUUACCACAAAUGAAAGAAUCAAUUUCAUACUUCCACUCUUGCUACUAAUGGAAUCUUAUAAGCAACAAAAAUUUCCACAGAUGCCAUUGUAAGGAUAUUUUAAAAUAAAUAAAAUCAAAAAUUUCCUUUUAUUUUAAAACUUUGCGGAAAAACUAUCCUUACAAUCCAUAUGAAAACUUGUUGUUAUCUAUUCCUAAGCAAUAUCUCAUAACUCCUAAGAAGUAGCUCAAGAAUCCGAUUUUUCAAACUAUGCGAUAGAAAUCCAUCUAUGCGAUCAGAUUCAGCAUAUUCUUCCUUUAAGUUUCUUCACUUUCCUUUGAUUCUUAAACCAUCACCAUGCGACCCGGUCACAUCAUGUAUCAAGAAUCUCAGAAUAGAAACUUAACAGAGUUAGAUAGUGGAUUUUACCUGAAGUAGAGUCAAACUUAUUGACUUUAACAUCCUUAGGUAAAUUUGGCAGCUUCGCAACCAAUGCCCUUUCUUUGGCAAUACAAACAUAUGGACCCUUUGAUAAUGGUACACAGGACUAUCACAGACUUAGCUUUUCUCUUUACCAUUUGGUCAACCGAGUUGACUAUAGCCGAUCCCUUUCCAUUGGGAAGAGAAUGCUUUACUGGAUAUCCAAUGUCAUCAUUGUCAAUGUCCAUAAAGUUUUAGGAAGUUGAUCUUAACAAAUAGAUAAGAUCAUUAAGGGUCUUGUCAUAGUCUUUUUCAUAGGUGUUCCAAAAGAACUCACUAUGUGACUUAGAAAGUAGUUGAACCACCAACUUUCUCAAGACUUUGACACCCAACUCUCCCGGCUUGUCAAUAUGUGACUACAUCUCCAAGAUGUGACCACACCUAGACCUUGCCUUGCCAAAAGGGCCUGAGUGACCUUAAACUUUUCAAGAACUUGUGGGUUAGGGAGAAUAAUUUGAAGAGGUGAAGAAGUAUGAUAUCCAUGGGACAUCAUCUUCAUUAGGAAACCUUGUUUCAAGAGAUUUGGGAAGAUCAUAGGUGUCUAAACCAGACAUCUUUUGGGAGAUAUUCAAGAUAGUUGAUUUAAAGUCCUUAAUAUGACACCCAAUAUGAAAUAUUAAGGCUAGGACCCAACAAACUAUUUUAUAACUUAGAAGAGGUAUGCCGUAAUCCAAGCUAUAAAAUAUUUGAAGGUAGGUGAAUGACGAUUCACCAAUUUCCACCAAGAUAAACGAAAUGUAUUAUUAGGUUUUAAUUGGUUUUGAAACUCCUAGAUCUUUGAGAUUCAUUGAACUUUUCAAAGGCAUGUUUCAAUCUCGAGUGUGCCCUUCAGGUUUUGUGACUGGGAUGCCGAGGAUCACAAAACAAGGUGUGAAGUAACCAUGCAAAUCACUUGGUACCCUUAAUAAAUUACCCCUCAAUCGAUGUGCCGGUUAACCACACACGCUCCAUCGAUACUAUGAUAAAUAUUAAGUCACCCUUUACCUACCUUGUUAAGUCCAAGUUAGUGUGCCGGUUAACCACACACGCUCCACUAACGACUUAGACAAAGUGUAAAGUGUAAUUUCAUGGAUUAGCACCUUAUUCACAUUUUUCCUAAGUAACUAAGAUUGGGUAUUAUUAAGAGUUUAGUUACUUAGUAUUAUCAUUAAUACUUUUAAUGAAGGGAGAAUUCUAGUCCUGUCAAACCCGUUCGGCUAACGACCCUCCACCAGUCAAGCAAGCGGUGGGUGAGAGUGGACACCCAUUAAGUUGCCAUUUUAUAGGCAACAACCUUAUACCCACCUUAUAGACCGGCUUCGUGAAUGAGGCGUACUAGCGGUAAGACUGACUUUACUCUUAUACAUAUAUAUAUUAUUAACUUAUAAUAUUAUAAAGUAUAAGGGUUGAAUUUUAACUUUUAAAAUUCUAAGGGCUAACUUGGAAUUAAAGUAUUCAUAAGUGAAAACUUUACAAAUUCCAAAACUUGAGGGCAAGUUUUGAAACUAUUCAAAACUAAUUAAUUCCAUAACUUAUGUGUUUAAAGUAGUUUUAAUCCAAAAACUCUUCAAGUUCCAUAACUUGAGGACAAGUUAUGGAAGACUUUAAACUAAUAAAAGAAUUAACUUUUCUUUAUUUUAUAACUUAUGGAAUUAAUUAAGGUUACACUUUUUUUUUUUUUAUUUUAUUUUAUUAAAUGAAGAGACUCUUGGUCCUCCAUAACUUGAGGACAAGUUAUGGAGUCAUAAAACCAUUUAAUUAGAACUAGACUCUUCAUUUUUGUAACCUUUGCCAAUUUUUAUGAGUUUUAUGAUUCUUAAAUGUGACUUUUCAUAUAACUUGAGGACAAGUUACAAAAACACAUUUUAGAAUCAAUUCUUAGAUUAAUUUGGAUUAAAACCAACUAUCACAUAAUUUUAUUCAUUAAUCUAAAUUCACUCAUAAAACAAGGUAACACAAAAAACUUUUGGUGAUCCAUAACUUAUUCUUAAGUUAUGGAAUCCUUUAAAACAUUAACACCAAAUUUUGUAACUCCAAAAAAACUUUGAAUCAAUUUUUUUUUUAAAACCUUUUCAUAUCCAUAACUUAUGGAGGUUUCAAAAAAUAAAACUCUUUAGAUCAAACUUUUAAAACUAAUAAAAUAAUCAUAUUAUUUUAUCUUUUAUUAAAUUUGACCUAAUUCAACUCAUAAAGCAAAUUAUUCAAAUUUUACAAAUAAUUAGUUUUUCACAAGAACAAGUAAUUAUCUUAAAAUUUGACAAACUUCAUGUUUUUUUUUUUUUUUUUUUUCAACUUUGAAAAUAAAAUAUUUGCAUCAAUAUAACAGAAAACAACCCGUGGCUCUGAUACCACUGUUGGGUUUUGAGCAUUCUAACACUUCCUAAGUGUACAUGCAACCCUAAAUACCUUGGAUCUAUGUUUUCUCUAUUAUACAUGCAAAUAAGAACUUCCAAGGUAUUAUCCUAAUCUAGCAUACAAAACAAUAACUAUAGCAAGAUAGAAUACAUACCUCUUUGGUGUAGAAAGUCUUCAUGAAGCUUGAGUGCCUAGUGCCCCAAGUGUGACACCUCAAAUGGAAUCACAAUCAUCAAAACACUUAGAAUGACUUGAGAGAAUUCUACACUCAUCAAAAUCGGCUAGCCCUUUCUUCACUAUCUCUAGUGGCCGAUUUUUCCUCAAUAAUAAGAUGCUUAUAUAGUUACACAAUUAGGGUAAACUCUUAAUUGUCAUGGCUUUCCAUUUCCUUGGAUCCAUGGGUACAAAUACACCAUGGAGCAUCCAUGGACCAUCCUAUGGGUUUUAGCCCAACUUGAUUAUCCAUGGAGCAUUAGCCCACUAUACAAGUAUGGAUGAUUUACACAAUCAACCCAUAUAUUUAAUUAGUCUUCUUUUGAUCACUUAAUUAAUCCUAGAUUAAUUCUUGAUCAAUACUAAUUAAAUAAUCUUAUUAUUCUUAUUAUUAAUAUACUAGAACUUAUAAUAUAUUAAUAACCAUAAGUGUCUUAUUUCUCUCAUUAUAGUCUAUCCAAGUGCAUGAUGGUAUGCAACCCAAAUGGACCAUGCCGGGUCGGGUCAAGUCUUACCAAUUAUAGUUAUGGACUUAGACAUUAAUCCAACAGUCUCCCACUUGGAUAAGUCUAAAACUAUUAUUGCGUAUGACUUCAGGAACCAACUGGCAAUCGUAGCUCUCAAAAGCUUCUGUCGAACUCUGACCUUGUAGAUGAACUCUGACCUUUGUCAAUGACUUGUCCAUUAGAUAAGGGAUCAUAUAUUCCUCCAUUCUAGAUAUCAUAUGGACUGAGACAUGGAUUAUAAUCAUUCUCUCUGUCCAUUUGUUGUUUCCCGAUUUCCGAUUUAUGACGACUGACUAAUUGAACAAAUCAAAUCAGUCCUGGCCCGGCCGAGCACUUCCAUUUGUCAUCAUCAAAUCAUCGAGGGGCCCACAGAUAUCGCUUUUAUCCCGAAGGUAAAAGGAACGGAUAAACUUCGACUCAUAUGGCUUGUUCUACUACUUGUUGAAUCAUACACAAAGGCACGUUUUAUAGCACCGAGUUACCAAAUGCGUUUUCGUGCAAUCAAUGUACUAUCAACUCAUAGUAACAACUCAUAUCUCUAGGUUUG